rnacentral:rRNA from 1 species
UACGUAGGGUGCGAGCGUUGUCCGGAAUUAUUGGGCGUAAAGAGCUCGUAGGCGGUUUGUCGCGUCGGCCGUGAAAACUUGGGGCUUAACCCCGAGCCUGCGGUCGAUACGGGCAGACUUGAGUUCGGCAGGGGAGACUGGAAUUCCUGGUGUAGCGGUGAAAUGCGCAGAUAUCAGGAGGAACACCAGUGGCGAAGGCGGUGCUCUGGGCCGGAACUGACGCUGAUGAGCGAAAGCGUGGGGAGCAAACAGG